rnacentral:rRNA from 1 species
AAAGGAAUAGACGGGGGCCCGCACAAGCGGAGGAACAUGUGGUUUAAUUCGAUGAUACGCGAGGAACCUUACCCGGGCUUGAAAUGGAGAGGAAUAUGGUGGAAACAUCAUAGCCAGCAAUGGUCUCUUUGUAGGUGCUGCAUGGUUGUCGUCAGCUCGUGCCGUGAGGUGUCGGCUUAAGUGCCACAACGAGCGCAACCCCUGUCGUCGGUUGCCAGCGAGUUAUGUCGGGGACUUCGGCGAGACUGCCACCGUAAGGUGCGAGGAAGGUGGGGAUGACGUCAAAUCAGCACGGCCCUUACGUCCGGGGCGACACACGUGUUACAAUGGGCGGUACAGAGGGUCGCUACUGCGCGAGCAGGUGCCAAUCUCUAAAGCCGUUCUCAGUUCGGAUCGGAGUCUGCAACUCGACUCCGUGAAGUUGGAUUCGCUAGUAAUCGCGCAUCAGCCAUGGCGCGGUGAAUACGUUCCCGGGCCUUGUACACACCGCCCGU